GUUUCCGUAGCUCAGUUGGAUUGAGAGCGCCUGGUUGCGGUCCAGGAGGUCGGGGGUUCGAUUCCCUCCGGGAACA
rnacentral:tRNA from 1 species